CCAAUGGCACUGCCCGGUAGCUAAAUGCGGAAGAGAUAAGUGCUGAAAGCAUCUAAGCACGAAACUUGCCCCGAGAUGAGUUCUCCCUGAGACUUUAAGUCUCCUGAAGGAACGUUGAAGACGACGACGUUGAUAGGCCGGGUGUGUAAGCGCAGCGAUGCGUUGAGCUAACCGGUACUAAUGAACCGUGAGGCUUAACCUUACAACGCCGAAG
rnacentral:rRNA from 3 species